CUCUCCCUCCCUCCCUCAGGCCAAGAGCAUACGGCCGCAGGUCCUCAUCUUCACUCCACCGCGUGUUCGACGAGAUGCACGCCCGCCCGCCCUCAUCUACUGUUAAGAUGAGAAACACCUAUUCAUGUAUGUUACCUGUUCGGCAGAAUGCUUGUGAGAGAUGUGUUUAUCAAGCAAGUUUCCUUUAGUUCUUGCAAAAAUUAAAAUGAAGUUGAUUUUAUUUACACUUUUCAUUUUCGAUUUGAUUUACCUUCGCGCAAGCAAUUCCCAGAUGAGGAAGAGUACUAAGCUUUAUCAGAUUAGUAUCAUCUUCUUUGUGCAAGCAAAAGAAGUUUUCUAGAGAUUUCAAUUCUGACCAUACCAUAUACUUUCAUUGCAGUUUAUUAAUUUUUACACCUCUGAUGUUAUCAGUUCAUUCUUGACUGUUUCUACAUUGAAAGGGGCUUGUAAAAUCUGAAUGCAGUACAGUUUUUUGCCCAAAAUCACCAGGAUUCAGUGCAGUUUUGGCUAGAAUAGAAGUGCCAGACAUCUACAAUUUUGAAAGAUGAUAUAUGCAGUUGUUUUCUCGUCAGGAUUCGGUGCAGUUUCGGUGGGAGAAGGGAGCAGUGGAGUUUCAUUUCAUGCCGUUAGGAAAUCAGGAGGCUGGGGUGAUAUAACCAAGGUUCUUAAAUUGGAUCCACUAGUUCAGCGGAUUUUUGUUGUUGCUCGUCAAAGAUCUUCUAGAUCUGUGUGAUGAGGGCAUUGAUGCCUUCUACAAUGCUCGUGCUCAGGAAAUGGAAAUUAGAGAGAUGGAUUUAAAGGCAAAGGUUGACGAGUUAGCAAGGAGCAACAGGCUACUCAACAUAAAGCAUCGGCAACUACUUCUGAAGCUACUGGAAAUGCUCUGCUAGAAGCUGAAUCAUUUUAUUAAGUUGAAAGACUUGGAAGAGAAGAAGGGAGAGUUGAAAUUAUUGGAAGACAAAGUGCAAAGCUUGGAGAAAGUAUGGUCAUUGGUUCCAGAAGAAUCUUUGAAAAAUCCGAGCCCUGGUACAUUUCUCCAUGCAUAUUAACCUUUUUAUUCACUAAUCGUACUUUCUUCAUCUUUAGUUGCAGAAGUAUAGGCAGCAUAGAUUGAUGCAGUGCGAAUGAUAAUUAGUUUGGUGGUUCUCUUUACUUCUUAAACAGCUAAUUAAUCAAUGUAGUAGUUUGUAUCUUUAAACAGCUAGUGUGAAAUAUGAAGUCAUUAGUAUAAUUACACGUAUUGUGAACAUUCAGUAGUUUGCUUCCGUAAAACAUUGAAUUCCUCGUUUUGUCUUUAGUACAUGCAAGUUUUGUUUACUGAAUGCAUACUGACUGAAUGUACAGGAAUAUUUUUUUAUUGCCUGUAGUACAUGAUGGUCCGUGUAGUACAUGAUGAACUGACCUUUCGAAAUUGUUUAAAUUUACUUACCUUGAUUUCUCCUUUUAGCCUCACAAGGUGUGCACUACAUAAGAUUUACACAAGGUUCAAAGCCAGGCAAAUUUUUGCAAGAACCCAGUUCAGCUUCAGCAGCGACCCAUGUGCCGCGCCAAGGCACGCCCCAGCAGCCACCAAAGGGAUUGUUAGACUUCAAGCUUGCCGGCAGUGUGUUCACGAGUGUGGUGUGCAUCUUCUUCAGGAGCACUCUGCAUAGUUAGUCUCAAGAUGCAUAUACCUCUUUGUUUUGUUUUGCUUUCUGAACUUCGUGAAGUACUCAAAAGC